CGGGUGAGUAACGCGUGAGGAACCUGCCUCAAAGAGGGGGACAACAGUUGGAAACGACUGCUAAUACCGCAUAAGCCCACGGCUCGGCAUCGAGCAGAGGGAAAAGGAGCAAUCCGCUUUGAGAUGGCCUCGCGUCUGAUUAGAUAGUUGGCGGGGUAACGGCCCACCAAGUCGACGAUCAGUAGCCGGACUGAGAGGUUGAACGGCCACAUUGGGACUGAGACACGGCCCAG
rnacentral:rRNA from 1 species